AACUCCUGGACUUGCGACGAUCCACUUGGCAAGUUCCGACGAGCUCCUUUAGCAAGCUUCUGGACUUCUCGGAUUUGUUCCCGCAGAACCUCCGACGAUUGUCCGAAAUUCCGUCGAGCUCUUGAACUCCCAAUGUGAUCAUUGUCAUGACUCCGGCGCAACUCCUGCUGCAUGUCUUACUUUCAUCGUAGUUAAUCCUGCACACUUAUCUCAACACA
rnacentral:lncRNA from 1 species